rnacentral:rRNA from 1 species
GACGAACGCUGGCGGCGUGCUUAAUACAUGCAAGUCGAACGGAAAGGCCCUGCUCUUGUGGGGCGCUCGAGAGGCGAACGGGUGAGUAACACGCGAGUAACCUGCCCCUGACUUUGGGAUAACUUCAGGAAACAGGGGCUAAUACCGGAUAGGAGCUCCUGCAGCACGGUGGGGGUUGGAAAGAGUCGGUGGUUGGGGAUCGGCUCGCGGCUUAUCAGCUUGUUGGUGGGGUAGUGGCUGACCAAGGCUUUGACGGGUAGCCGGCCUGGGCGGGUGACCGGCGACAUUGGGACUGAGGUACGGCCCAGACUGCUACGGGAGGCAGCAGUGGGGAAUAUUGCACAAUGGGCGGAAGCCUGAUGCAGCAACGCCGCGUGCGGGAUAACGGCCUUCGGGUUGUAAACCGAUUUCGCCUGUAACGAAGCGUGAGUGACGGUAAUGGGUAAAGAAGCACCGGCUAACUAUGUG